rnacentral:rRNA from 1 species
AUGCGCAUGUUGAGGUGGAUGUGUGGCCACACAGGAAAGGAUCGGGUAUGGAAUGAUGUUAUAUGGGAUUGGGGUAGCACCGAUUUAAGAGAAGUUUGUCCAACAUCGUCAAAGAUGGUUUGGGUAUAUUCAGCGCAGGCCUCUCCUAUGCAUAGCGGACGGCGUGAUGAUAAUGUCAAGAGAGGUCGGGGUAGACCGAACUUGACAAGGGAGGAGUCCGUAAAGAGGGAUCUGAAGGACUGGAGUAUCGACAAAGAACUAGCCAUGUACAGGGAUGCAUGGAAGCUAGCUAUCCAUGUGCCAGAACCAUGA